rnacentral:rRNA from 1 species
UACGGGGGGGGCUAGCGUUGUUCGGAAUUACUGGGCGUAAAGGGCUCGUAGGCGGCCAACUAAGUCAGACGUGAAAUCCCUCGGCUUAACCGAGGAACUGCGUCUGAUACUGGAUGGCUGGAAUCUGGGAGAGGGAUGCGGAAUUCCAGGUGUAGCGGUGAAAUGCGUAGAUAUCAGGAGGAACACCGAUUGCGAAGGCAGCUCGCUGGGACGUCACUGACGCUGAGACGCGAAAGCGUGGGGAGCAAACAGG